GCUGGACCCACCUACACGCCUGGACUUUAAUGUUCAUCUGACGAAUACAUGAAUCAACGUUGCCGACAUAUCUAUAUAAAAAUACAUUUAUGGAAAAUGUGGUUCAUGGAAUGUUUAUCCUAACUAUUGAACCCCCAAAAAUGGAACGAGAAGCAGAGAUGUCCAAAUUGGUGGCUUGGUGUUAAUGAUCGUUAAAGAACAUUCAUAAAAGGAUGAAUCAACCGCCUAUACCCGGAGUGAAGCGCCGAGAGGGUUACACGAGAUGACGAUUUCAAAGAGUUUGAUUCUGAUGGGACUUUUGGUUGCGGUCUCAGCGUCCAAACUAUUCCAUCAGACCACUGACUUUGAUCCAGCUGAUAAGCGGGAGCAACUUGGUCUCACCAAUCAAUAUCCAGCCGAUAUUGAGGUCAAGCCUGGCAAUUCAGAUUGGCCUCCAAUCCAGGAACCCUGGAGAUGUUUGGAGAGCAAUGACACGCGAGCCAUUGCAAGCUUCAACUCAGUCAUCCGGUCAACGAGUGGAAUCCCUGACGAUGAUCCUAAUUGUCCAAUUGUCACACCAGAUAUUUGUGUGUCGGCCGAUUUUUUCCCUGUGCCAUGUAACUGCCAUGCUUAUGUAAGGUGCUCUCAAAUGGAUACCGAUGGACCCUUGAUGCCUUGCAUCUACAAGUGCAAACCAUAUGAUUUAAUAUUCAGUCCCAAUCAAGCCGUUUGCGUCAACGACAGUGGUCCGUCUUCCACCAUUUGCUCCGACACACCACCCCCGCCCCUCCAAUAGUUUGCUUCCUUAAAACCAUUCUAAUCAACAAGUACCAGGCCAACGACCGUCACCACUCCAGUCACCAAAUUGAUUACAAGACAUUCACAUAUCCUACUACAUCCUAUAUUAUCAUUAUUUAUUUAUUGUGAUAAAUCUAAAUCGACAAAU